rnacentral:rRNA from 1 species
UACAGAGGUCCCAAGCGUUGUUCGGAUUUACUGGGCGUAAAGGGUGCGUAGGCGGUGGGGUAAGUUUGAGGUGAAAGCUCCGGGCUCAACCCGGAAACUGCCUUGAAAACUAUCCGGCUAGAGGGUUGGAGGGGAGACUGGAAUUCUCGGUGUAGCAGUGAAAUGCGUAGAUCUCGAGAGGAACACCAGUGGCGAAGGCGGGUCUCUGGACAACACCUGACGCUGAGGCACGAAAGCCAGGGGAGCAAACAGG